CGAUCUAUAACAUUGAACCUUGUGCUGGUGUGACUCUCACCCAUAGAAAACCGAUUUUUCUCUUUUCUUUCCUAGAGUGAAAAACUCUUACAUUUUCUUCGCUAUAUAUAUACCAUCUUAUAGAAAAAAUGGCCACAGCCUAAAGGAGUUUAGAAAACAAACAUACUAUAUUAUCAUCAUCAACUUUGUGAAACCUUUCUCAACGUUUUUUGUGAUUUUACCUCGGAGUCGCUUUAUCUUAGUGCUAUAAUUAGAUUAAUUUCGGUUAUUAGUGUUUAUAUUAUAUUAGAGCAAUUUUUCAAAUAACUUUUAAAAAAAAAGUUUUUGUCACAAUAAUAAUUUUUUUUUAAAAAGAUCAAAAUAUCAUUUUUUAUUUUAAAAAAAUCACAAAACCUAAACCCUAAAAAGUAAAAGAUAAAUAUUAAAAUUUUCAAAAUAAAAUAGGACUAUAUUGAUCAAUUUAUUUUUAAAAAACUUAAAACUGGAUAUUUGAGUGAAUUGCCCAUACUUUUUUGGUUUUUAAUUAUAGAAGAUCCAAUUUUUUGUCCAAUCAAGUUUUUGUAAAAAUACAAGGAAAACUAAUAAUUCCUUUUAUAAAAAACUAGUAACUUAUAUAAAUAGGCCAUAAGUUUAUACAUAGCCCAUGAAAACGUAAGUUUACAGUUUUGGCGGGAAAACGUAAGUUUACAGUUUUGUCGAAAAACCGCGUUUUUGCGGUUUUGACGGGAAAAUGCGUUUUUUCGGUUUUGGCGAGAAACCGUGUUUUUAUGGUUUUUGCCGGUAAAAUACGUUUUUGUGGUUUUGACGAGAAACCGUGUUUUUACGGUUUUUGCCGGUAAAAUGCGUUUUUGCGGUUUUGGCGGAAAAAUGCAUUUUUACGGUUUUGACGAGAAACCGUGUUUUUACGGUUUUUCCCGGUAAAACGAGAUUUUUACGUUUUGGCAUGAAAAUACAAUUUUUGAUUUUGGCGAAAAAUCACGUUUUGUGGAAAAACGCGUUUUUGUGGUUUUGGCGUGAAAACGAGAUUUUCGUGUUUUUCGGUUUUGGCAGAAAAACACGUUUUGGCAGGUAAACGACAAAUUCGUUAUCUCAAAUUCGUUAUCGAAUUUGAUAAAUAGCUCUCUCUCUCUCUCUCUCUCUCUCUCUCUCUCUCUCGCGGGAAAAAGUUGCAGGAAACCCUAAACCGAUCCCAAAUUCGUUAUCGAAUCGAGAUGGCAGGAGGAGGAGGUGAUGCGGCGUUACAAAGGCGGACGGGAGUGUGGUGGGACCUGAACUCGUGUCCGGUUCGUGUGCGUGGGUGCAUAGAAUCAGCGGUGCACAAGCAGAUGGGUCAUCGUUCUAAAGUCGUCAUCUAUGCCAUGGGCAACCUAGAAUACAUCUCUAGUGACCUCUUGGAAGAGAUAGCUUCCUCUGGAAUCCUUCUUGUCCACGCUCCCUGCGGUGGGAACGACUUCAGAAAGAUAGACGGCCAGUUAUCCUUGACCAGCAGCCAGUAGCUCAGAAAGUUUUUGUGGGAGAGUUUGUCUGGGAAACUUUAUUGAAUGACAACAUCACAUGUGAGAUGAUGACCGUGAAUGAAGAUGAACCUCUCUGCAUUUGCGACAUAUGCGAUGACACUUUCGAAAUAUGUGCCGAAUUCAUCACUCAUCUCAAGAGUGAACAACACAUGAAGGAGUUGUCUGAUAUAGUGCCUAGAGACUCCUGGUACUGUCAGCCUAUGCAUUUUUGCCAUGUUUGCAAUUAUCCCGGCUACGACGAAUAUAACAUGCUCCUCCAUAACCAAAGUGAAGAUCAUCAUCGCAAGGUAAAGCAUCCUUGCCUCUUCUCUACAUUUAUAUUGUAUAACCAACUCUCUGUAUCUAUAAAAAAUUUGAUCCCAUUUGGCCUUCGUUUUGUAGUUAAGUUAUUUCUUUGUUGUUCACUCGCACUCUAUUUUCCCGUGGUUAUCAUAUAUUAUAUAUAUAUUUGAAAUUGA